GAUGAACGCUAGCGGCAGGCCUAACACAUGCAAGUCGAGGGAGAGGUUACCUUCGGGUAACCACAACCGGCGCACGGGUGCGUAACGCGUAUACAAUCUGCCUUUCACAUAGGGAUAGCCCGAAGAAAUUUGGAUUAAUACCUAAUGGUAUAUAAGAGCUGCAUCGUUUUUAUAUUAAAUCUACGGUUGUGAAAGAUGAGUAUGCGUUCUAUUAGCUAGUUGGAGAGGUAACGGCUCCCCAAGGCGACGAUAGAUAGGGGUUCUGAGAGGGAUGUCCCCCACACUGGUACUGAGAUACGGACCAGACUCCUACGGGAGGCAGCAGUGAGGAAUAUUGGACAAUGGUCGGAAGACUGAUCCAGCCAUGCCGCGUGCAGGAUGAAGGUCAUAUGGAUUGUAAACUGCUUUUGUAAGGGAAGAAUAAGGAGUACGUGUACUUUGAUGACGGUACCUUACGAAUAAGCAUCGGCUAACUCCGUG
rnacentral:rRNA from 1 species